CUCCAGGAAGCCCCCCAGGGCUGGGGGUUGCAGGGACUGGUGUCACUCUGCUGCUUUCCCUCCCCAUCCCUGUCCCCAUCCCUGUCCCCAUCCCUGUCCCCAACAGGUCCCCAGCCAUGUGGGUGCAGCCCCCCCACAGCCCCCCAGCCCCCAGAUCUCUCUGACCCCAGUGGGAUUUGGGCUCAGGGCUCCGGGCUGCGCUCAGCUCCCUGCCCUCCCCUGCCAGGCACUGGCCGGGCGGUAAUUAAGCUAAUUGAAACUGAGCCAUUGAUUCUGGUGGCUGGACGCCCGGUGUCUCCUCCAGGGGGGAAGCGCUGCCUGUCCCCAGCCACCAGCCAGGGGGGGACCUGCUCCUGGCCCCUGGUGCAAGGCGCGAGGGGGCACCCAGCCGAGCCCCAGCCUCCUGCUCCCCCCCUGCCUGGACAACCCCCCCCCGGCCACAAACACGAGCAACCCACAGCCCGCUUCUCCCGUCCAGGCUCGUGCAGGCGCUGCAGCCCCCGGCCCCCUGACCCUGCCCGUGUGGGGGCACGGGAGGUGCCAUGGGUGUCCCCCCAGCAUGGCACAGCUCAGGGCUUGGUUUGGGGUAAUGGGGCUGGGCUGGUGGUGGCCGGGCUGCUCCCAACCCUGGGGACAGCAGGGGACAUCCAGGGGACAUCCAGGGGACACCCCUCGCAGGGGACCCCCCUGGCAGGGCACUGGGGCUGGGCGGGGGCCAGGCAGGGUGCUCGUGCCCCCAGCCCCCGGCUGCAGCCCUGCGGCGCGGUUUCGCUGCUGUUUUUCCGUCUCUGCAGUAAUCCAGCAACAAACCAGCGGAAGAAUCCGGCGUGCCACCGAAAUCCCCCGGGGAGACGCCAGCAGAGCCCGGGGCCGCGGUGCCGGCUGCUCGCCCAGGGCCGGGGGCUGCUCUGCUCUGCUCGGGGGGCUGCGGACGCGGCUCUGCCCCAUGGGGGCUGCCUGGGUGCCCGACACCCUCUAGGCUGUGCCAUGUGCCCUGUCCCCAGCCCCAUGCCAGCCCCGUCCUGUCCCCGUCCCCGUCCCCACCGACACAUGAUCAGGUGCUGCUGCAAAUCCUCCUGUGCUGGCCGUGUUUGAAGCCUUUGUGUCCUGGUGAUGCAGAAGAAUCCGAGCGAUUCGGAGCACGCAGGGCCCCUCGGCACCAGGAGGCCUCAAGGGGGGAGCGGGGCACGGAGGGGGCACCGGACCCCCGCCUUGGGGUGAGACCCCGGCCGGGGCAGCCCUGGGGUGCUCGGGCUCCUCGCCCUGCCCCAGCUCGGCAGCGGGGCCGCUGCAGGCACCCAGACCCGCUGAGCCCCCCCCCGGGGUCCC
rnacentral:lncRNA from 1 species